AUGUUAAAAUCGGCUGGAAGAAGACAAUAAUCAUCUAAUCCAAUUUUGUUUAUUAAUUAUAUAUUUGGAGGUCUAUAGUGCAAGAUCUCGAUCAGAUUAUUGUUCGCAUGGACUGUUGCUGAUUUUAGACGAUGACUAUUUCAUCUUUGGCGCUGGUUUUGGCGAUAAACGAGUCAUGCUUACGGCUAAGAUUACCGUUUAAGCUAUACAAUGCAUGCGGAGGUGGUUUGUCUCUGCAAUUUGAAGGAUGCUGGGAGUCUAAUAAUCAACUCGUCCAAACGGAUGUUGAAGCUUUGGACCUACAGGUGGUAAGGGUAAGAGGAUAUGUUACAAUGAUUACAUUACUUGACCCCAAAAAAAAAAAAAAA